rnacentral:rRNA from 1 species
GUAGGUGGCAAGCGUUGUCCGGAAUUAUUGGGCGUAAAGCGCGCGCAGGCGGUUCUUUAAGUCUGAUGUGAAAGCCCACGGCUCAACCGUGGAGGGUCAUUGGAAACUGGAGAACUUGAGUACAGAAGAGGAAAGCGGAAUUCCACGUGUAGCGGUGAAAUGCGUAGAGAUGUGGAGGAACACCAGUGGCGAAGGCGGCUUUCUGGUCUGUAACUGACGCUGAGGCGCGAAGGCGUGGGGAGCAAACAGGAUUAGAUACCCUGGUAGUCCACGCCGUAAACGAUGAGUGCUAAGUGUUAGGGGGUUUCCGCCCCCUUAGUGCUGCAGCUAACGCAUUAAGCACUCCGCCUGGGAGUACGGCCGCAUGGCUG